rnacentral:rRNA from 1 species
AACGAACGCUGGCGGCAUGCCUAACACAUGCAAGUCGAACGAGACCUUCGGGUCUAGUGGCGCACGGGUGCGUAACGCGUGGGAACCUGCCCUUAGGUUCGGGAUAACUCCCCGAAAGGGGUGCUAAUACCGGAUAAUGUCUUCGGACCAAAGAUUUAUCGCCUUUGGAUGGGCCCGCGUUGGAUUAGCUAGUUGGUAGGGUAAAAGCCUACCAAGGCGACGAUCCAUAGCUGGUCUGAGAGGAUGAUCAGCCACACUGGGACUGAGACACGGCCCAGACUCCUACGGGAGGCAGCAGUGGGGAAUAUUGGACGAUGGGCGAAAGCCUGAUCCAGCAAUGCCGCGUGAGUGAUGAAGGCCUUAGGGUUGUAAAGCUCUUUUACCCGGGAUGAUAAUGACAGUACCGGGAGAAUAAGCUCCGGCUAACUCCGUG